GCACCUGGGUUGCUCAGUUGGUUAGAGCAUGAUGCUGACAAUGCCAAGGUUGCAGGUUCGAUCCCCAUAUAGGACAGCUGCA